CAUCCUCCAAGGCUAAAUACUCCUGACUGACCGAUAGUGAACCAGUACCGUGAGGGAAAGGCGAAAAGAACCCCGGCGAGGGGAGUGAAAAAGAACCUGAAACCGUGUACGUACAAGCAGUGGGAGCCCCACCACCAAAGCAUUCUCUGGUGUUGAAGGCCCUGCAAAGCAGCAUCGCGGUGGCGGAGCGUCGUUUGCGACGCCCAACACACAAAACAAGCGGUGAGUGCUUUGGGGUGGGGUGACUGCGUACCUUUUGUAUAAUGGGUCAGCGACUUAUAUUCUGUAGCAAGGUUAACCGUAUAGGGGAGCCGUAGGGAAACCGAGUCUUAACCGGGCGUUAAGUUGCAGGGUAUAGACCCGAAACC
rnacentral:rRNA from 1 species